CCAUAUACCAGAUUUCCAAAGCACAAAACCAGUAAUACUAGACAAAAAACAAAGCAAAGGCAAGGUAAAUCAUGCUUUUAAACCGAAGAAGUUAUUUAGUUACCAUGUUAAUGCAAAUUUGUGGGGAUAAAAUCCAAUCAUAAAAAGAGAAGUUUACUUUCCUUACUUUAUGUUUCAUCCAUGCCUAAGAUUGUACCAGUGCCAAGGUAAAGAU
rnacentral:lncRNA from 1 species